rnacentral:tRNA from 1 species
GGGGCUAUAGUGUAGCUUGGAGAAUAAGAGUAAAACUCCUAUUUGAGUAAUCUAUCACUAGCGGUUUGGGGCCGCUGAACCCCGGUUCGAAUCCGGGUAGCCCCA